UUGUAUAAAGCUAAUAUAAUGAGGAAUUAUAAUACAGCAACCAAACAUGUUCUUGGGAUAUGUUUUUCUGAACUAGAGAUGACAUCACUAGCAUCUGGUCUUUCUCUUUGAGACAGCUGAGAGAGUGAGGUGCCGUGAGAGAUGCAAUCGAUGGGGGGGUAGAGAGAGGUAGCCGACAGUGAGAAUGGUAAGGAAGAACGGAGCGUAGUGAGAUUAGUGGAUUGGUGAGGAAGAGCGUGAGGGAGAGAAUGAGAGAGCAUGUGUUGUGGUUGAGAAUGUUGCAAUUGAAAAUUUACUGUAACCUUUUAUGCUUGCCUCAAAACUCACCGUUUUGUGCUAACUGUUGUGCUCAAUGUUGUAAGAAUAUCGGAACUGUUAUAAAUUUGUUUCUAAAUAGAAAACUCUUUUGUGGAGUCAAUAUUUUGAAAACCAAAGUCUCGAGUUCUUUCUCGUGCGUGCCUGGCCAGCAUCCUAAACCUUACUGCUAGCCGGAGAAUGGCGUAAAACGGCGGCGAUCUUCUUCUUCAUCUUUUUCUCUCUGUCAUCGUUUCAGGUAACCUUGUGAUUAUGAGUUUCUUCUCUUUCUUAGCUUGCAAAAAUAGGUUUUGAUUUCUUUAAUUCGUAUUGUAGCCAUUAAUAUCAAUUUUUGUCCUGCCGGCAAUAUUUUUUUGUUCCUAGAGGUUGAAGCCCUUCUGUUCUUGUUCCAUUGGUGACUUUGCUCACUCAAAUUAAUUUUGUUCUGCAGAAUUUACAAAGUUCAAAUGGAUUCGUUUGGAUUACUAUUGAAUUUAGCUUUCAUUUCAACAUUCAUUCUAAUGUUUUACAAUUAUGUAUUUAGAUUUACUUUAAUUUUAUGUUUAAAGCUUCUGCAAUGAAUAGCUGAGCUUGGGUCUUAGUUUCAUUUUCUAAUUAACUUGUUUUAGUUUAUCUUAUAUGCUCACCAAGUGCUUGUUAUAUUGUCUGAUAGGUUAUAUAACAUUGCUGAUUCUAUAUUAAUAAUGUCAUGUUCCAUUUUCAGAAAUUAUAAUAUAAAAGUUUUUACAAUGGGGUGCAUCUACAAACUGAAUUGACUUGUAGAGUAAGAGCUUGGAGUAGUGUUGCAUUCUUGAAUAAAUGAAAGUUCAUAUUGUGUAAGAGCAUGUAGAUGUAAAGCAUCAUUACCAUUUCUACCAAGUGCUUUCAUUCCGUUCAGAUGCUCCACUUGAACUUUGGAAGGUGCCUCAUUCAAGUCCUAGCUAUAACUAAUAGCUCUGAUUAAUUAAGUUCAUGUGCUAGCUGAAACAGAUUUAAUUAAUUAAUUAAUUAAUUGUGUAUGUACUAAUUAUAUUGAAAGUAUAUGAAGAAAUUGUUUAACAUGAAUGACUUCUAAAUGACUUAAAAGCCUAGAGGAUAAGUGAAAUAAUGCUCAUUUCACUUGAAUGAGCCUAUUAAUACUUGUAUGUCUAUGAUUGUCAAUAUUGCUUAAGUGUUUCAGUUAAGUGGUUUACCUAGCAGGGAAAAAAAUUUAAUGGAAAACCUUAGAGUUUUAAUAGAAAUAUAGUUCACUAUGCAGAUAUAGUUAUUUUACGGUAUAUAAAUCAUGUUGUCCUAUUCUCAAUGUCCUACAACCUAUUUUAUUUUAUAUAGUCAUUCAUUUUUACGAUGGUUUUUUGUGUUUAUGAGUAUGGAAAUAGUGGGAUUUGGUGUACCUUAGCAUCUUUCGAAAAUUCUCUUUAAAUGCGGCAAACAAAAAUAUACAUAUAAUCAAGUUUCUUAAUCAUGUAUAUUAGGUUUGGGUACGAAUGUUUUCCUAUUCUAGUUCUAGGCCAAGUUUCUUCAUUUUGGUCUUCAGAUUUCCAGUAGGUUAAGCUAAUCAACUAUCAUAACUGGCUAGCUAGUUAUUGCCUGCCUUGUCGCCAUUACCGACGCCAUUACAUUGCAUGGCAUAGGGAAUAGUAACUAUGUGAUUAUUGGUGAUUUGUUGAGCUUAUUAUUGACCAAACAAACAUAUUCGCCUUUACCCACAACUUGGUUUGAUUAGUUACUGGACAAUAAAGAGCCUUAAUCUAUGCAUUGGCUUUCUUAUUUUUAUUUGGUUUUUCUUUCAACAAUAUUGUUGAUUUCUUAAUCAUUGGCUAUUUAAUGAAGCUAAUUAAAACUAAGGCUUCGGAUCACUUUCUUCUAACAACAAACAAAUGAGGAUAACCUAUCUCCUCUAAGCAAAUUUUUCUAAUAUCCUUGAUUUGUUAGGACCUGGAGGCCUGAAAUCCUCUAGAUUUUUUUAGCAUUGCCAAUGUUCCUUUUAUUCUGAAAAGGAAAAAAAGGUUAUAUCGUUUAUACCCUAACAGUAAAAUGGCCUUUGACUUAACAUGCCUUCCUGAGGAUUUGCAAGAUUCACAAGCAGCCUAGCCACCCCCCAACGCAAAAAAAAUAAAAAAUAAUAAAAAUAUAAAAUAUAAAAUAUAAAAACCCAAAUAGGAAGACUUUGCAACAUUCACAACGUGGUUACAUUUAAGUUAUUAAUUGUGUGUGUGUGUACUAGUUAUAUGUUGAUAGUAUAGGAAGAAGUAUUUUAACAUGGAUGACUUAAAACUUAUUGCUCAGUAAACAUAGUCUGCAUCAGUGCUAGAAAAUGUAUUCAUUGUUUGUAUUUUUUAUGGUUUUGAUUAAGAAAUGAAAUGUGAAAAAAUGCUACAUUGUAUUAGGAAUAAAUUGAAGAGAUUUAUGAUAUUUAUGUGUUAUUCAAGUUUCAGAUUCAAUUUUAAACUUUUGAUACAUGCAUUGAAAGCUUAAACUCCUUUAAGAAGUUAUUGAUAGACACAUGUUUUAUUAGUGUCAUCUUUGGAUGAUAGUGAGGAUCUUAUGUCUAUUAAUAAUUCUUGAAUUAUCCAGGCUCGGACAUUUUGGUAAUGCAUAGUUUUCUAUGGUAACUAGUACCUGAAAUUUUUUUCCCACAAAAAAUGGGCUUUUCAGUAGCUGCUCCUCAUAUUCUGGGUGCAUACUAGACGAAUGGGUGUCGUUUUGUUUUGGGAUAACACAUAAACACUCAUAUAUCUAUGUCAUGUACUUGAAGAACUAUAGGGAGAUGCUUCCGAAAUUUCUAUAAACGUAGAGGAAAACUUUAGAUACUUAAGGUUGAAGAAACUUAUGCAUUCUUGAGUGGGAUAUAGAGGACCACUUACCUUUUGUAAUAUGAAGGGAAUGUUGGAUAUAUUGAUGGGAGUGGAUGAGCUGAGUGGGAUGAAUGUAAACGGUUAUGAUUUUGCUGAGUUGACUUGGUUUUGAGUCUUGUAAUUUUGUUUAUAAAUGGAGUACUAUCUCCAAUGUUGGUUUAUAAAUAUGUUUCAGCUGGCUGACCUAAUUUUUUAUUUCUAGGUAACAGGCUUUAUAUAUUCGUAAUUGAUAGCCAAGUGAAGUUCUCAGCAGUGGGUGAGGAUAUUUCUUUACAGAAGGUAUUGGAAACUGUUUUUCACAUUAAUUAGUAUUGUAUACAUACUUUAAUUUCACAUCUUUUUCUCUGAUUCUUGUGGCUUUGCUUGCUUUCAUAUAUAUAAACAUUCUAAUGAGAUUAACAUAAAAUUGUAUAAUGAUUUUUUUUAAUUAUAAAUUGCGCGCACACGAAAAUAUCUUGUUUAGUAGUAGAAAUGAAGAACUAAAAUGAUUUAUUUAACUAAUUUUUCUAGUGCAUUAAAAGGAGAUAGUCAUGGACAAGAGUUGGGUUGGUUUGCCAAAUAGAUAUCCAAGUCAUAUACUGAUGGGGUUGAAAAAUUUAUAGAUUUUGCAUUUGAGAAUGUUGUUGGUGAUAAAAGAAUUUAUUGUCCUUGUAAGAAGUGUCGUAAUAUCGAUAUUUCAUUAUAAGGGAAGUGGCAAGAGACCAUAUCAUUACAAAUGGCUUUUGGUUAAAGUAUUGAAACUGGAUAUUGCAGGGUGAGCCAUCUUCAUCUUUGAAAUCUAACUAAGAAACAGGUUAGUCAUGACUCGGGUGCUGAUGAUAGUAUGGUUGGAGUGAUACACGAUGCAUCACAUAAUCAAGUGUUCAAGUUACACGCAGCAUUGUUAUGUUAUGGACUAUCAGUGACUUUCUAACAUAUGCCAACUUGUUUGGGUAGAGUAUUAAAGGUAAAUAAGCAUUUCUUGUUUGCCAACAAAACACUAGUUCUAAUUGGUUGAUACAUAAUAGAAAAUUUUGUUACUGGGUUACCGUCGAUUCUUACCAACGAAUCAUAGGUUUCGCAAAUAUAGUGUCUUUUGAUAAAACUAGGGGGUAGGGAUAAACGCCUUCUCGGUUGUCUUGAACUGACGUGAAAAAGCAGGUGAAUAAUAUAUUUACUAAGUAUAAGAUUGAAGACCUGAAAAGAGGAGAAUGAAUAAAAUGAAAGAAAUGAUAAGAUUACUUGGAAGAAGAAAAGCAUUUUUUAUGAACUAACGUAUUGGGAGUUCAACUUGAUUCAUCAUAAUCUUGAUGUCAUGCAUAUGAUCUACUUUCUUUCAUUUUCUCACCUCCCAAACAUCCAUUAUACAAUAAAGUUUUUUUAGAUUUUAUUGUUUCAUAGAAUUAUAUUUUGCAUAUGAUGAAAUAACUUAACAUUUUAGUAUUCAUUUGCAUAUAAUAAUUAUAAGUAAGAAAAAAUAAUUGCUUACAAUUACUACUAGUUUUAUUGUCGUGAUUACAAAUAAAUUGCUCAAAUUUUCUGCUUCAGCUAUCAAACCUUUUAGCUGCUUCCAGACAUGAAGAAAUUAAACCCAUAAUUUCUAGGUACAAUUGCAUUCGUAUAUGCCAUGAUACAUAUGAUAUGAUUAGAACCAAAAGGAGAAAUAAAUUUUUGGGACUUAUUGUGAUGGUGAUUAAUCUUUUUCUACCUUAACUUUGAUAAGGUUAUAAUUAAAUUUUAUAUGAUUAAAGUGGUCAAUGGUUAAAUAAAUAAAUAAAUAAAAUAGAUGAGGAUGGACUAAUGAAAUGACCCACCCCCGAACUCCACAAGGUGAGUCUAUGUAAUAUCGUCUUACUUGACUGAUAAUAAUCUAAUUAGUAAGGAUUUUACCGAAAAUUUGAUAGAGUCUCCACUUUGAAUAUAACAUUUCCAACCUGCAAAUGUGUAAAACAAGCACUCUCAAAAUAAAUCAGUAUACAACCAACUUCAUUGAUUAACCUCCUCAACUAUAUUACUGAAUAUUACCCAAAAUAUCUACAAAGUAUCAAAAGAUUAUUUAUACCUACUGUUGACAUAUAUUAAGCUAUUUUUAAUCACAAAAAAUAUUACAAAAUUAUAUAAUCCAAAAAAAAAAGAAAUCAAAAUGCCCUGACAAUAUAAUCUAUAUCUCCUAGUACCAUCACAUGGCCAAAAUUCAAAAUACUAUAGUUGCUAAGUCAACUGGUGUCUUGCAACCUCCUGAGGGGUGGGAGGGAAUUAUAAUAAAACGGGUGAGUAUAAAACUCAGUGAGCUCGGUGAGUGGAUAAUAGUUUUUGAAAAUAACUUACCAUAAAUAAUUAUACCACUUUUAUAUAUGAUUUUAUCAAACUGUAUGUAAGAAACAUGAAUAAAUUAUUUAACCUUUGAAUCAAGUAAUUGACAUUGAAAAGAAUACAUUAAGAGGUGCAUAAUAAUCAUGGAAAUUGUAUCACAAUAUAAAAUACAUGAUUAUGAAAUUAUCACAAAACAAGUACCUAAGGGAAUAAUCUUGUCGUACCUAGAGCUCAUACGGGCAAUGCAAUGACAUAUUCUCUAGGUACUGUCAUCCUCGGAGCUAGCACCGGUAGAUCAAUGAAGUGUCAUCUUAUAUAUCUUAUCAUAUCUUUGCAUGCAUAAACUAGUCCCCAAAAGACAAAGGUGCCCAAUCACAUAAUCCAAGGCCUCUGUGAGCCCCAAAGGCCCCUAUCUCGUCUGUAUAUUAGUAACUGAAUCUUUGUUAUCAUCAUAUUUCAUGCAUAAGCGUUCAAAAGGCAAAAGUGCCCAACUAGACGGCCCAAAGCCUCUCUGUGUGUUCAGACGGGCCCCAAAGUCCUCUCAUCUCAUCUGUAUAAUUGUAAUUGGAGGGGAAGGGCAUUGUUCAACGAGUUUGAGAACAAACUUAUAUAUAUACACACAUAAACAUUUUAAUCAUACUUUAAACUCUUAUUUCCUUUUCAUUACAUACUUUAAAUUUGAUUUUCUUUUCUUUAUAUUACUCUCAUGUAUAUACUCAAAAUCGAUAAUAAAACCAAUAAUCAUACUUUUUAAUAAUAAAUAUCAAUACUUAAAUAAAACCUAUUUCUAGAAAAUCAUUAGAUCGGAGCAUUAAACACUUAUUUCCCAAACAUGCUUUACUAUACUUUAAAAUCAUAAUAAAAUAUGAAAAAUAGGUUUUGCCUAUUUCACUCACCGUGACGAUAUUCAAACUCGGCUAUCAUUAAUGUCUGUAGGAUGGUUCUCACUCACUAUUCCCCCUAAAUCAAGGAUACGACAUAAUUACUUUCCAUAAAUGUGAAAUACAACUAACUGUAUGUAAUAUACUCGAAACGAACAUCUAUCCACAAUAUGCUACUCCUAUGUCUGUAACGUUACCAAAAAUACCCCCAAAAUCAUAAAUUGUCAAACAACCCUCAAAAUCAUAAAUUACCAAACUAUCCUCUAUAAAAUAUUAUUAAAAUAUCCACAAAGUCAGAAAUUAAAAAAUUACCAUCAAAAUAUAAAAUUAUCAAAAUGCCCUCGUCGGUCAAUGGUGAUCGGGAGUCAAGUGAUGGUGGUUGGAAUGGCCAAGAUAAAUGCUUUGGACCACGCUGAAUUUAAUGGUGGCAAAUUGACCAUUUCUGGUGACAUGGGUGAUUAAAAAUUGUAGAGGGUGUCGUGAGGGAGAAAACUAAGCAGUAGUGUGCCACAAGUUCGACGAAAUCUCAUCAAAUCGAGGUGGUAGUACCACAGCUCUUCACAUUCUUGAUCGGUGGUCUUUUAGCAGUUAUUUAGUGACCAUGAUGGUUAGGGAAUGACUAGCAUUGGUUGAGGAUUCGAUCGAUACCUUCUGUUGUCGAUAGAGUGGCCGAAAAUAGUAGUUAGCAGUGGGUGGGGUUUCAAUUCUAUCAGUUAGGUUGAUAGCUCUUCCUCUCUUUGUUUUUCUCUUUCCCUCGAUUCCGUGUCAUAACAAGUUUAAACUAGUUCAAACUCGAACCAUUUAACAAGCGUGUCAAAUUUAACAACCCACACUCAUUUAUUCAUGUUGAGUAAUUGAGUCGUAUCAAAUCUGCCAAUAACAAUUAUAAUAAUGACUUCUAAAACUUCAAGUCAAAGAGGAGGAUAAAAUAAUGCACUUGAUUAAACAUAAAAUGCAUAUGUUACAACUAAUCACUAUUCAAAAUAUUAAGAGUGGAGUAGCAAAUGUCAAUUUAUUUGGUUGCAAUCAAAUUUAUCCUAUGAUAAAUAGUGAUUAUUAAAUAAUAUAUAGAUCUAUUAUAUAGUAAAUUAAUAAUAUAUAUUAAUGAAAAUUUAAAAAUAAAUUAUUUAAAAAAGUCAAACUAGGUAAUGGACUUAAAUGUGAAAAUUUAAAAUAAUUUGGAGUUAUGUGUCAAAAUAUUGAAACUUUGUCAUUUUUUAAUGUGCAAGCAAAUAAUAGGGACUAUAGACUUAAUAAACUAUUAAAUCCAUCUAAGCCACUAAGCUACGUUUAUGUUAAAUCUAAUGGUUAGUAAUAGCUAAUAAGAAAAGGACAAAAAUUGGGGAAUGAUGUCACAGGGACACCAUAGUCGGACCCAUUAUUAAUGUUUAGUGCAAGUAUUUUCUGAAAUAACAACUACAUAAUUAUUAUCUUAUGUAUCUAAUGAGAUUAUUAAUUUAGUAUAUUGGCCCAAGUUAGAAACGUAAGAUUUUGUUAUUUAAUCAAGUAUAUUAAUUUAUAAAACAUUCAUUUAUUGAGAUUUUAUUGUACAUUACAUUUGCACACUUUAUUUUUAAUGUGAAGUAAAAACUAAUGUUACAUAUGAACUUAUUGCUGACAACAUUAGUACAUAAUUGCUGUCAUAAGAAAAUUUAUCAAUCCAGGAAUUUUGGAUUUUAUAAAGUCUUACAAGUGAAAAGAGUAGUUUAUAACAUUGUAAAUGUGACCUCGACCUGGAAGCGAACUCGGCUGUCAUAAAUUGAUCAAAGCCACACUUAACUUCUACUACUACUUGCAUUGUUACCACCGUCUUCAGCCUUCUGCUUUGCCCAUUCAGAAAAAAAAAAAAAAAUUAUAUAACUUUUGUCAGCCAACAAUUAUAAUAAACUAAAAACAUGUCCAAAGAUUCAAAAUUUUUUUUUUCCCUUUUUUUGGUUUUACCUCCUCUGACAUAUCAAAUCCUAUUGCCGUGAAAAGUUUCCCUUGCAGCACAUAAUUUUGCCACAGCAUCUCUCAUCUCCAUUCGCUCAGUUGGAGACUCCAUUGAGCAGGAAACCCCAAUUCCAAUUACAGCAGACAAGCAUUGCUCAGUCCUGACUCUUAUCUCUCCAUCACUAUUUCUUGCAAUUUCCUCAGUUAGAAGUGAAGGCUCAACAAUAUUCACCACUUCUUCUGGCAAAGCCCUUUUGGCAAAUUCAUGGAGGGUUAAGCCAUCAUUGAACAUGCUGUCCGUGGGCCGCUUUCCUGUGAACAUUUCUAGCAAAAGAAUUCCGAAGCUGUACACAUCACCUCGCAUGGAGACUUCGCCACCCGUACCGUACUCUGAAAAAAACAUGUUAGAUAUAUUACUCAGUUAGUUGCCAC
rnacentral:lncRNA from 1 species